GACAGAGGGGGCGAGCGUUGUCCGGAGUGACUGGGCGUAAAGCGCACGUAGGCGGAUUGCUAAGUCAGGGGUGAAAUCCUGGAGCUCAACUCCAGAACUGCCUUUGAUACUGAGGAUCUUGAGUUCGGGAGAGGUGAGUGGAACUGCGAGUGUAGAGGUGAAAUUCGUAGAUAUUCGCAAGAACACCAGUGGCGAAGGCGGCUCACUGGCCCGAUACUGACGCUGAGGCACGAAAGCGUGGGGAGCAAACAGG
rnacentral:rRNA from 1 species